rnacentral:rRNA from 1 species
CCCUUAGAUGUUCUGGGCUGCACGCGCGCUACACUGAAGCUAUCAACACGUUUUCCCUCCCUGAGAAGGGCGGGUAACCUUUUGAAUCAGCUUCGUGGUAGGGAUCGGGGCUUGCAAUUGUUCCCCGUGAACCAGGAAUUCCUAGUAGACGCGAGUCAUAAGCUCGCAUCGAUUAAGUCCCUGCCCUUUGUACACACCGCCCGUCGCUACUACCGAUUGAACGUUUUAGUGAGGCAUUUGGACCGACGCAUCUCAGUUUAACCGCUGGUUUGUGUUGGAAAGACUUCCAAACUUGAGCGUUUAGAGGGAGUAAAAGUCGUAACA